rnacentral:rRNA from 1 species
GACGAACGCUGGCGGCGUGCUUAACACAUGCAAGUCGAACGGAAAGGCCCUGCUUUUGUGGGGUGCUCGAGUGGCGAACGGGUGCGUAACACGUGAGUAACCUGCCCUUGACUUUGGGAUAACUUCAGGAAACUGGGGCUAAUACCGGAUAGGAGCUCCUGCUGCAUGGUGAGGAUUGGAACGUUUCGGCGGUUGGGGAUGGACUCGCGGCUUAUCAGCUUGUUGGUGGGGUAGUGGCUUACCAAGGCUGUGACGGGUAGCCGGCCUGAGAGGGUGACCGGCCACAUUGGGACUGAGAGACGGCCCAGACUCCUACGGGAGGCAGCAGUGGGGAAUAUUGCACAAUGGGCGGAAGCCUGAUGCAGCAACGCCGCGUGCGGGAUGACGGCCUUCGGGUUGUAAACCGCUUUCGCCUGUGACGAAGCGUGAGUGACGGUAAUGGGUAAAGAAGCACCGGCUAACUACGUG